CCGCCUUCCUGCCUGCCCUCGAGCCUACCUGCCACGCUGUAACUUCUGGACACUGACCUUGUUAAUAAUAUUUUGUUUGUCCACGACCAUUCUCUUGCCCGCCCCUUGGAUUAUAAUUAAUAUCAGACUCAAACCAUCUGCCUCCCGUGUCUGCAUCUGGGUCUCGCCCUUUGCCCUUAAAGUGCACUACUUUUGACCAGCGCCCUAUGGAACACAGACUGAGAGAUAGUGACUCAGCCUGAUUGCUUGUUGUUGGUAAGCAAAGCAGGUCUCCCACUAGUCAACAGACAGAGAAUAAUGACGUUCCUUCUACAAAAAAACUCCCUCCAUUGGAGAAUGCUCGGGGGACCUUUGGCAGUAUUACGCAGUCAGCCAUAACUAAAAGAUCAUCAAAGGGCCUGUUUGCAGCAGUAGGCUAAGAGUCUGAAUGGAUGGGGAUCGUCAGAGGCUGCGUCCCAAAUGGUACCCUGUGAUGAAGCCAGAGUGAUGAGAGAGAGUUGUUAACCCCUCUGUCAGAAAGCCCCCAGGCUUUUCAACAGUUGUCUAUCUGUUUUUCUUCCCUCCUUUCCACUACUAAGUGCAAAAACACCUACUUAUUAGCGCAAUACCUGUAUGUAUUCACCCUUGGAACCAAACAUACAAACCUCAUCACCAUUUUGUGACAUCACUCCAAAUCACCUAGACAAAAUGUGUUAGCCCUUAGGGCUGUGGGUGGGGCAAUAAUUUAGAAAAGUACCUUCAGUGCACAAAGCAGACACACACCAUAUUGCAAUACAAUAGAUAGUCUAAAACACACAACAUUUUGGAAAUACAAGUAGUACAUUUGGAGUAUUUGGCUGGUUGGAUUUUUAGAGGGAGAAGCUAUUGCACAACAAAAAAAAUACAAACAUCAAUAAAUGGAUACAUUCCAAACAGGCAAGUGAAGUAAACAUCUUCUGAUUGUACAGUAAAUAUGCAUCCCAAAUUGUGCCCUAUAUUCCCUUCAUAGUGCAAUACUUUUGACCAAAGCUCAACAAAGUAGUGCACUAUAUAGGGAAUAGGGAACCAUUUUGGACACAUCCUAUAUGCACUGGACCCAUUAGCAUGCUAACAAGAACCCUAUCUCAGUGCCUCAUUUGCAUAUCCAGUCUCCCCUGCGGAAUACACAAUCAAUGUUCAAACUAGGGAAAAUAAACAAAUCAAAUAAAAUAAAAUAAAAAAAUAGUCACAUGCGCCGAAUGCAACAGGUAGACCUUACAGGUACCUUACAGUGAAAUGCUUACUUACAAGCCAUUAACCAACAAUUCAGUUUUAAGAAAAAUACCCCCAAAAAGUAUGAAAAAAAUAAAAAUAAAUAAAUAAAUAAAAGUAACAAAUAAUUAAAGAGCAGCAAUAAAACAACAAUAGAGAGGCUAAAACAACAGAGUCAAUUUUCUGGGGCACCGGUUAGUUGAGGUAAUUGAGGUAAUAUGUACAUGUAGGUAGAGUUAUUAAAGUGACUAUGCAUAUAUAAUAACAGAGUGUAGCAGCAGCAUAAAAGUGUGUGUGUGUGUGGGGGGGGGGGGCAAUGCAAAUACUCUGGGUAGCCAUUUGAUUAGAUGUUCAGGAGUCUUAUGGUUUCGGGGUAGAAACUGUUUAGAAGCCUCUUGGACCUAGACUUAGAGCUCUGGUACUGCUUGCCGUGUGGUAGCAGAGAGAACAGUCUAUGACUAGGGUGGCUGGAGUCUUUGACUCCAGGGCCUUCCUCUGACACUGCCUGGUAUAGAGGUCCUGGAUGGCAGGAAGCUUGGCCCCGGUGAUGUACUGGGCCGUAUGCACUACCCUCUGUAGUGCCUUGCGGUGGGAGGCCAAGCAGUUGCCAUACCAGUCAGUGAUGCAAGACGUCAGGAUGCUCUCGAUGGUGCAGCUGUAGAACAGUGUCCAUUUAGAGUAUGAUGGAGUUCAUCAAUAAGAUUAUACAGUCAAAAUGUCUUCAUAUACUCAAAUGUUUUAUUUAAUGAUGCACAGUAAUCAAUGUUUCUGAAUUAGCUCAGACCUAAAUGUGUUAGCUGUUAGCCAGAUAGCUAAUGUAUGUCCCUAGUUCAUAGCCAGGCUGAAAAUAGAUGUGAAAAUGUACUUUCUUGAAGGGUGAGCAUUUCUCCUUACAAAGGCAUCAUUGGAAGGAAAACUUUCUCUUCUCAAUGUCCUCUAAAAACAACAGAAACAAGAGCAGGCAUGUUCACAGUACCUUACACACAUCACUUGAUGAGAGUGGACAGCUACAUUUGAUGCAGCAACAUCCUCCACCCCUCCCGUUCCCCCCUUUCUCACAGACAAAAACAGUUUCCUCUAGCCCUUAAAAAAACAAGGCUUUACAGUCAAAGUCUUUUGAUGCAGGGAAAAAACUGAGCAAACACACUUGCGGGGCUCCCUUGUUUAUUCUAUUCUUGAAUUUUUUAAAAUACUGCAAAUAAUUAACAAUAUAGCGGCAGAUGCAAAAUUACAGCUCAUAAAUAUGCAAAUGAACGACGCAGAAAUUGCAUUAAAUAUAUUUAUUCUCUCCCGACCAAUGCCUUUCAUCUUGAGUGAUUACAAGAUGCAGAAAAUACAUCUCCUGGUACUAUAGCCUAGUGCUGCCUGAAACCCAGCCGUGUAAUGAAGGAUAUAAAUCAGCACCUUGGACAGCGGCAGCAAAUGCACCCAGAUACAACAAGAGGCUGAUUUCAGCACCACAGACCGCACCACGGUGACGUUUCCUGCUGAAACAACCUCUCUCGCUCUGCCUUCCAAAGUAGAAGUGUUGACUACACAGAGUUAUUCAGGUUUGCCGCACACUGACUCCUGUAUGCACAGGAUGCAUAUUGAAGCCUCUGGCUAAAUGGAAAUGUGUGCUCCUAUUCUGAGAUCAGUGGACCUUUUCUAUCUGCUGCAGUGGGGGGUGCAUACACUGAGUGUACAAAACAUUAGGAACAUCUGCUCUUUCCAUGACAUAGACUGACCAGGUGAAAGCUAUGAUCCCUUAUUGAUGGCACUUGUUAAAUCCACUUCAGUCAGUGUAGAUGAAGGUGAAGUGACACGCUAAUGAAGGAUUUUUAAGCCUUGACAGAAUUGAGACAGGGAUUGUGUAUGUACGUGUGCCAUUCAGAGGGACAAAAGAUAAAAGUGCCUUUGAAUGGGGUAUGGUAGUAGGUGCCAGGCGCACCGGUUUGUGUCAUGAACUGCAACGCUGCUGGGGUUUUCACAGCAGUUUCCCGUGUGUAUUGUCCACCACCCAAAGGACAUCCAGUCAACUUGACACAACUGUGGGAAGCAUCGGAGUCAACAUGGGCCAGCAUCCCUGUGGAAUGCUUUCAAACACCUUAUAGAGUCCAUGCCCAGACAAAUUGAGGCUGUUCUGAGGUCAAAAUGGGGGAAGACUCAGUGUAUAUCACAGAGCAGGAGAUAUCCCCUAUGUAUCUUCUCACAGCCAAGUGCACAUUCCGUGGAUAAAAGGAAACGGCUUGCCCGCUGAGACAAUCUGAAUUCCAUAUAUGGGCACAUACGUAGCAAAGUCAAUGACCACAUAUGUUUA
ensembl:lncRNA